UAGGGAAUCUUGCGCAAUGGGCGAAAGCCUGACGCAGCCAUGCCGCGUGAAUGAUGAAGGUCUUAGGAUUGUAAAAUUCUUUCACCGGGGAAGAUAAUGACGGUACCCGGAGAAGAAGCCCCGGCUAACUUCGUGCCAGCAGCCGCGGUAAUACGAAGGGGGCUAGCGUUGCUCGGAAUUACUGGGCGUAAAGGGCGCGUAGGCGGAUAUUUAAGUUGGGGGUGAAAGCCCGGGGCUCAACCUCGGAAUAGCCUUCAAUACUGGAUAUCUUGAGUUCGGGAGAGGUGAGUGGAAUGCCGAGUGUAGAGGUGAAAUUCGUAGAUAUUCGGCGGAACACCAGUGGCGAAGGCGACUCACUGGCCCGAUACUGACGCUGAGGCGCGAAAGCGUGGGGAGCAAACAGGAUUAGAUACCCUGGUAGUCCACGCCGUAAACGAUGAGUGCUAGUUGUCGGCAUGCAUGCAUGUCGGUGACGCAGCUAACGCAUUAAGCACUCCGCCUGGGGAGUACGGUCGCAAGAUUAAAACUCAAAUGAAUUGACGGGGGUCAUAGCUGUUUCCUG
rnacentral:rRNA from 1 species